CCUGGUGACCAUAGCUGUGUGGAACCACCCGAUCCCAUUCCGAACUCGGAAGUGAAACGCACACGCGCCGAUGGUAGUGUGGCUCAAGCCAUGCAAGAGUAGGUCAUCGCCAGGGGCUUUACCCCGAAGGCCGGUUCCGCAAGGAGCCGGCCUUCUUCUUUUGGCCUGCCCACGCCGCCGGGCACCGCCUGCGACUGGCCCCGACAGCACCGGCUGCCUGGCGCGCGGCGGCAAGGCGGCAUCGCCGUUCCGCGUCGCGGCGGACGGCGCGAACGGAGCUUGCGGGAGCGCGUUCCCAGCGGGCGGGAAACGGUUGCGCGGGUUUCCUAGGCCAGGCGGCCGUUCGCGGGCGUUUUCCGCGCGUCGGGACCGCCGGCGCCGGAUCGCUCCGCGCCCGG
rnacentral:rRNA from 1 species